UGAAUACGAGACGCUACGGCGUUGAAGCAGUCUAUGUCAUACUUCCAAGAAAAGCUCGCAAUGUCAUAAACAAAUAAUGCCUGUACCAUAACCGACACAGGUGGGUAGGUAGAGUAUACUAAGGGGCGCGAGAUAACUCUCUCUAAGGAACUCGGCAAAAUGACUCCGUAACUUCGGGAGAAGGAGUGCCUUAUUUAUAAGGUUGCAAUAACAAGAUCAAGCAACUGUUUAUCAAAAACACAGGUCUCCGCUAAGUCGUAAGACGAUGUAUGGGGGCUGACGCCUGCCCAGUGCCAGAAGGUUAAAGAAGUUGGUUAGCAUUCGCGAAGCUGAUAACUGAAGCCCUGGUGAACGGCGGCCGUAACAAUAACGGUCCUAAGGUAGCGAAAUUCCUUGUCGGGUAAGUUCCGACCCGCACGAAAGGCGUAAUGAUUUGGAUACUGUCUCGGAGAGGGGCUCGGUGAAAUAGACUUGUCUGUGAAGAUGCGGACUACCUGCACCUGGACAGAAAGACCCUAUGAAGCUUUACUGUAACUUGAAAUUGAAAUUGGACUUUAUUUGCGCAGUAUAGGUGGGAGGCGUUGAGAGUAUUCUUGCGGGAAUAUUGGAGCCAUCAGUGAGAUACCACUCUUGUAAUGUUAGAUUUCUAACUUUGUAUCAUUAUCUGGUCAAAGAACAGUUUCAGGCGGGCGGUUUGACUGGGGCGGUCGCCUCCCAAACGGUAACGGAGGCGUACAAAGGUUUCCUCUGAACGGGUAGAAAUCGUAUCUAGAGUGUAAGGGUAUAAGGAAGCUUGACUUGAGACCUACAAGUCGAGCAGGGACGAAAGUCGGUCUUAGUGAUCUGACGGUGCUGAGUGGAAAGGCCGUCACUCAACGGAUAAAAGUUACUCUAGGAUAACAGGCUGAUCUCCCCCAAGAGUUCACAUCGACGGGGAGGUUUGGCACCUCGAUGUCGGCUCAUCGCAUCCUGGGGCGGUAGUACGUCCCAAGGGUUGGGCUGUUCGCCCAUGAAAGCGGUACGCGAGCUGGGUUCAGAACGUCGUGAGACAGUUCGGUCCAUAUCCGGUGUAGGCGUUAGAAUAUUGAGAGGAGCCUUCUUUAGUACGAGAGGACCGAGAAGGACAUACCUCUGGUGUACCAGUUAUCGUGCCAACGGUAAACGCUGGGUAGCUAUGUAUGGAGAGGAUAACCGCUGAAAGCAUCUAAGUGGGAAGCCCACCUCAAGAUAAGUAUUCUCA
rnacentral:rRNA from 1 species